rnacentral:rRNA from 1 species
UACGGGAGGCAGCAGUGAGGAAUAUUGGACAAUGGAGGCAACUCUGAUCCAGCCAUGCCGCGUGUAGGAAGAAUGCCCUAUGGGUUGUAAACUACUUUUAUACAGGAAGAAACACUGGUAUGUAUACCAGCUUGACGGUACUGUAAGAAUAAGGACCGGCUAACUCCGUGCCAGCAGCCGCGGUAAU